rnacentral:rRNA from 1 species
GAUGUUUGGUUAAAAAUACUUAAGCGUUGUAUUUAUAUAAGUGAAUUGUUUUGUGUUAAUAAAGGGUGAAAUUGAUCUUUUACUGAAUAAAUAAUUUUGUUUAAUAAAAUGGAGCUGAGGUUGUUAAGAUCAAGGUAUGGACCAGGAUUAGAGACCCUGUUACACUUGAUUUUAAGUUAAAAUACCUGGGUAGUAAACAGUUAUAGUCUUGAAACUUAAAGGAUUUGGCGGUAAUUUAGUCUAGUUAGAGGAACCUGUCCUGUAAUCGAUAGUCCACGAAAAAUCUUACUUUAUUUUGAAUAAUUCAGCUUAUAUACCGUCAUUGUUAGAUAACUUUAAGAGAAGCAAAAGUUGUUGUAAUAAUUUUUAAUUAGUAUAUUAGAUCAAGGUGUAGCUUAUGGUAAAGUAGAGAUGGGUUACAAUAAAACUGGUUUAAUAGAACGGAUUUAGAAAUGGAAGUAUUUCAAUGAAGGAGGAUUUAAAUGUAAAAGUAUUUUAAUAUGAUACUUUGAUUAUAGCUCUAAGUUAUGUACACAUCGCCCGUCGCUCU